rnacentral:rRNA from 1 species
AGUGAACGCUGGCGGCAUGCCUUACACAUGCAAGUCGAACGGCAGCACGGGGCAACCUGGUGGCGAGUGGCGAACGGGUGAGUAAUGCAUCGGAAUGUACCUUUCAGUGGGGGAUAACGUAGCGAAAGUUACGCUAAUACCGCAUAUUCUGUGAGCAGGAAAGCAGGGGAUCGCAAGACCUUGCGCUGAUUGAGCGGCCGAUGUCAGAUUAGCUAGUUGGUGAGGUAAAGGCUCACCAAGGCGACGAUCUGUAGCGGGUCUGAGAGGAUGAUCCGCCACACUGGAACUGAGACACGGUCCAGACUCCUACGGGAGGCAGCAGUGGGGAAUUUUGGACAAUGGGGGCAACCCUGAUCCAGCCAUGCCGCGUGAGUGAAGAAGGCCUUCGGGUUGUAAAGCUCUUUCGGCCGGGAAGAAAUCGCACGGGCUAAUACCCUGUGUGGAUGACGGUACCGGAAUAAGAAGCACCGGCUAACUACGUGCCAGCAGCAGCCGCCGUAA